AAACAAUAUAUAAGGGUUCAAACAAUGUAAACGAUGUUAACACAACAUCGUUUUAACAUUGUAUACAUCGCGAUGUCAACGAUGUAUACAUUAUAUAAGGGUUCAAACAAUGUAAACAAUGUUGACACUAUAUCGUGUUAACAUUGUAGAUAUCGCGAUGUCGACAAUAUUGAAUAAACAUCCUUCACUGGACAUGAAUGUCUU
rnacentral:lncRNA from 1 species